ACGGGGCGAAAUGGCCCCUAUGCUUUCUAAACUCUUCGUAAAGUAUUUUUGAAUGCAUUCCUAUGCUAAUUGGAAUUUAUGUGAAUUUUAGAACACCUAAAAUACAUGCCUUAUGUGUAAGUUAAAUUUCACUCUAUAUAGUAGAGUAAUCAAGGUUAUUUUCAUGCAUGUGAGGAGUGUUCAUGUGGACGAAUGGGAUUCUCGUCUAGUAUGCUAAUUUAGCUCAUAUUCGUGUAUUGAAAACAUUAUACUAUGUUUGGACUUAGUAGCAUAAAGUGUCAUCAAGAGGCACUUGAAACUAGUAAACUAUGAAACUGCAACAUAGAAACAUAAUAUUAGGCCAUUGUACAUCUGCUAUAUAUUUCAUGUUAGAGACAUGAUGACAUAGAGAUAGGCCUUUGGGGCAUUCGAUACAUUCCAUGUUAUAAGACAUGAGGACUUGGUACUUGUGACUGGACAUAUGACUACUUGCCAUUGUGCUCAUUCGCACAUGCUUGUGAGGGUCGCUCCCUACAAGCCGGCACUCUGGAGAUAGCCAUCGCGAUUCAUAUUCGCCGUGCGGGAUUGGGCGCCGAAGUGGAUUGCCGUGGGCCAGGCUCAUUCUUAGGGUGGGGAUGAUGACUAUCACGAGGCCAUUAGGCUCGGCAUCGGCCAGACAGCCUACGGGCGGGUCUCAGGGCCAUAGACAGCCUUCGGGUGGGUCUCUUCAGAUUUGACUUUGAGUAUUCACUAUGACAUGUGAACUUUUAAACUAUUAAAGUGGACUUCGACUAGAAUAGUAAACUAUGACACCUUUACUAUUUCUGCAUUGAGGACAUCGGAUUGGUUGCAUUUCUAUGCUUAUGCAUGUCAUACACAUCUAUGUACAUUCAUGAUAUCGUUACUUUAUCACUUAUGCAAAUCAUGCUAAGUAGAGACCUUAUGUUAUAGUAAGUUACAUUUUACUUACCUUUCGCUUUACUACAUUGUUAGUCACUGACCUCUUUUUGUAGCUUUGGGCCUUGUGGUGCAUUCACUGAAGUCAGUAAUUGCCCACUGGGAACUAUUUUUAAUAGUUCUCACGCCCUCUUUUUUGUGGUUUCUUUCAGAGCCUUCUGCACCGGCGGAGGCACGGGAUCGCGGCAAGGGGAUCGCAUAGCUAGCUAGCGAGGAGCGGUUCUUUGCCUAGGUGGUUUACUCUUUCUUUUUAUAGUUCGAGAGAGAGUGAGAGAUUUUGUAUCCAUGUAUAGAGACCACCUGUGUAUCUACUUUUAGCACUUAUAUUUGGGAUUUUCUUUGUAUUACUUUAUGCUUCUAUUAGCGGAUUCCAGCUUUAUGUUCUUUUCGCUAUUGUAGAACUUAGUAUUAUAUCAUGCUCUGAUACUCCUAGAUGUCUUUUAUUAUUGCUUUAAUUAUUGUUGUUUUAGACGCCUUAUAUGUUUUAGACGUAUGGCGGGUCUGGGCACAUGCCGGGCGGGCUUCCGCUGGGUCCCGGGGCGUGACAGAUUAAUUUGGUAUCAGAACCUAGGGUUGAGUCUUAGUAGACCUAGCAAACCUUAGGCCGGUUGGACUAUAGGAAAUAGGCUCGUAAGAGACGAGGUCUAUUUGAUUUGUGAGCGAAAGUAUCAUGAUUGGGUAUUAUGAUAACUCUAAAAAGUUAGAGUUGAUUGGAGUGUUUGGGCUUCUAACUUCGCGGAGGGUUACGUUGGCGGCCGACAACGUAACAUCGGGAGUUAGAUGUGAAUAACACUUCCUUACUUUCGCAUGAUUUGGGUUUUAUUUUGAGAGUGGAUGCGAUAGCGUGGGUUACUAACUUGCGCUUUUAUGAUGUUGUAGUGACAAUGCCGAUUACUCGCUCCCAAUCUGCCGGGGUGGACAAUGCGGCAAAUUUUGAGGAGGUCGAGACCUCCGCUACCUCCGGAUCUAGCGAGGUCCAUGAGUUGAGGGGCCAGCUUGCGGCCCUUACUGAUUUAGUCACUCAGCAGGCGGAGGCUGCCUGACAGCAUACCGAGGCGGCGCUCCGACAGGAGGCGCGGAUGAAGCGUCUGGAGGACCUACUACUGCAGCAGGCAGCAGCUUCUGGGGAGACUCAGGCCCCUACACCGCCAGCACCAGUUGUGGACGUUGCACCAAGAGUGCCAUCCCCCGCGCCCAGUUCUUCGCGUGUGGCGCCUGUGGCCGCACCCCAGGAGGAGGUCUUGGCGGCACCACCUGUGCAGAGGCCCCCGGUUAGAGCAACUUUCCCUACUUUGGUUGAGGGGGAGGAGCGAGAUAGACUGAUGGAGCGCCUUAAUGAGUUCAGGAGGUGCAGCCCCCGAGUCUUCGACGGCGAGAAGGUCGACCACUGGAUCAUGGAAAAGUGGUUGAUGCAUAUGGAGAAGCUCUUUCGCGACACUUUUGUGGAGGAGAGGGACAGAGUUUGGCUCGCCACUCAUCAUUUGGACGGCGAGGCCUACCGCUGGUGGUUGGAUCUCCAGGAGAACCCCCGCACAGACUUGGCAGCUAUCACUUGGACAAGGUUCAAGGAACUUCUUUUGGCGCACUACUUCCCGACCAGCGUCAAGAGGAAGAUGGAGCAGGAUUUGCACAGCUUGCGCCAGGGUGACAGGACCGUAGUUGAGUACGAGCGGGGGUUUUCUCGGCUUCUGCAUUGCGUGCCCUUCGUCGUGCGGGACGACGAGGACAAGGCCCGCAUCUUCGAGUGAGGAUUGAGACUGUCUAUCUUUCGGUACGUGCAAUCCUCUAACCUCCAAACCUACCGGGAGGUGGUGGAUCGCGCGCUCAUUGUGGAGAGCGGCGCGACGGAUGUUCAGGAGCAGCGUGAGGCUACGGACAAAGGGAAGGCCAAGAGGCCUGCGGCUGAGGGUGCGAGCCAGACGCACUCUAGGAGGCCGCCGAAACAUCCUAAGAGCAAGCAGCGUGGACGCGGCUAAGCAGCGCAUCGAGGAGGAUCCGAUCAGCGCCGGCCUUCCCCGUGUGUGAUCUGCGGUGGUCCCCAUUACCCACCGCAGUGCCCACAGCGGGCGGGCAGGUGCUUCCAGUAUAGCCAGGAGGGCCACGUCCGUACUGAGUGCCGGAGGGGUUCUUCACCGGCACCGUCGACUGCAUCGGCAUCGGCUUUACCAGCCGCCAGCCAGGGGACUCCAUCGGCACAGUAUCAGCCUGGGCGGCCACCCGUCCAGCGCCAGAGCGAGGGAUCUUGACAGGCCCCGAGUGGGCGCAUGUACGCCGCUCAGACCGAGGAGGCGGCAGCAGUCGAGGAUGUGGUUGCAGGUAUCAUUUUACUUGAUGGCAUUAGAGUUCGUGCUUUAUUUGAUACCAGUGCAUCGCAUUCAUUCAUAGAUCGACUGUUUGCCGAGUUGCAUGGCAUUCCAUUGGUUCCUUUGUUGCAUACAGGACAUGUUGUUGUACCCGACCACAUUUUGGAUAUUAGAGAGUAUAGCCCCAGUUGCCCUUGUUCGGGUAGGAGAUUGGAUCAUGCCUGUAGAUUUGCUAGCUUUGCGCAAGCUCGGAGAUUUUGACGUGGUCUUGGGCAUGGAUUGGUUGACCAAGUACUAUGCCACGAUUGAUUGUAAGAACCGCACAGUUACUUUUAGAGAACCUGGGUAGACUGAGGUGGUAUUUAUUGGAUGCCGGAAUUCGCUGUUUGCGAUGACAAUCAGCUCGUCCCGAGCUAGGCAGCUGAUCAGUAGAGGUUGCGUAGCCUAUUUGGCUAGUGUUGCGUUGAGGGGCGAGGAUGAUACCCCUAGGAUUGAGGAUAUCCCGGUGGUGUGGGAGUUUCAGGAUGUGUUUCCAGCUGAGCUACCGGGUAUGCCUCCUGAUAGGGAGAUUGAGUUUGUGGUAGAUCUCGUCCCUGAGACUAUCCCAAUCUCAAAGGCACCCUAUAGGAUGGCACCGGCAGAGCUGAGGGAGCUGAGGGCACAGUUGCAGGAUUUGUUGGACAAGGGCUUUAUUCACCCGAGCGUCUCGCCUUGGGGAGCACCAGUUUUGUUCGUCAAGAAAAAGGACGGAUCGCUUCGCCUUAGUGUGGAUUAUCGUGAACUUAACAAAGUCACGAUCAAGAACAAGUAUCCAUUGCCGAGGAUCGACGACUUGUUUGAUCAGCUUCAGGGAUCAUGUGUGUAUUCCAAGAUAGACUUGCAGUCUGGAUACCACCAAUUGAGGAUCAAACCCGAGGAUGUAUCGAAGACAGCUUUUAGAACACGGUAUGGACAUUACGUGUUCACAGUUAUGCCGUUCGGGCUUACUAAUGCCCCGGCAGCUUUUAUGGAUCUAAUGAACCGUGUUUUCAAGCCUUAUCUAGACAGGUUCGUCGUGGUGUUCAUCGACGACAUUUUGGUCUACUCUCGAAGUGAUGUAGAUUACGAGGAGCAUUUGAGAAUUGUACUCCAAGUACUUCGGGAAAAGGAGCUUUAUGCCAAGUUGAAGAAAUAUAAAUUUUGGCUUCGAGAGGUAGCUUUCCUUGGACACUUGAUUUUGGGAUCAGGUGUAGCCGUGGAUCCCAAGAAGAUUGAAGCAAUCAAGGAUUGGCCGAGACCGACGAGCGUCACAGAGAUACGGAGCUUCCUUGGAUUGGCCGGUUACUACCGGAGAUUUGUAGAGGGGUUUGCUAGACUGUCUACUCUCCUCACGAGGCUCACGCAUAAAGGAGUCAAAUUUAUUUGGAGUGAUGCGUGCGAGCGAAGCUUCCAAGAGUUGAAGCAGAGAUUGACGACCGCCCCUAUCUUGACCCUACCAGUAGCUGGGGCAGGGUAUGUGGUUUAUAGCGAUGCUUCACUUAACGGAUUCGGUAGUGUGUUGAUGCAGGAUGGCAAGGUGAUCGCGUAUGCUUCUCGCCAACUAAAGGAAUACGAAAAGAAUUACCCGACGCAUGAUUUGGAGUUGGCGGCCGUAGUGUUUGCAUUGAAGCUAUGGCGCCACUAUCUUUAUGGCGAGCGGUGUGAAGUAUACACGGAUCACAAGAGCUUGAAGUACCUGUUUACUCAGAAGGAGUUGAACUUGAGGCAGCGCAGAUGGUUGGAGCUACUCAAGGAUUAUGAUCUGACGAUCCUUUACCACCCGGGCAAGGCUAAUGUGGUGGCGGAUGCGCUAAGUAGGAAAUCGAUGGAAAACUUAGCGAUGCAUGUUGUGACUCAACCGCAGUUGAUCGAGCAGAUGAAGCGGUUUGAGUUGGAGAUAGUGACUCCUGACACACCCUUGAGAUUGAUGACAUUAGUAGUGCAACCUACCUUGUUGGACAGAAUCAAAGAGAAGCAAGUUUUCGAUUUGGAAUUGCAAAAGAUUCGAGCUAAAAUGGUUGAUGGUUGCACCGGCGACUUCCUUUUGGAUGAUCAGGGAUUGAUGCGUUUCCGUGGGCGGAUUUGUGUACCGGCAGAUUCGGGGAUUAAAGAGGAUAUCCUUCAUGAAGCGCACCGAGCGCCGUAUGCUAUACAUCCGGGUGGCACCAAGAUGUACAAGAACUUAAAGUUACUCUACUGGUGGCCCGGGAUGAAAAAGGAUGUUGGCGAGUUCGUUGCUAGAUGUUUAACUUGCCAACAAGUGAAGGCUGAGCACCGAGUUCCCACGGGAAAGCUUCAGAGUUUGCCUGUCCCCGUGUGGAAAUGGGAGAUGAUCACUAUGCUUUGUGACAGGAUUGCCACGCUCACAGGCGGGGCAUGAUGCUAUUUGGGUGAUCGUGGAUAGGUUGACGAAGUCGGUGCACUUCAUACCUAUUCAUACAACUUGGACCGGGGAGAAACUCGCACAAGUGUACCUUGAUGAGAUUGUGCGGCUUCAUGGAGUGCCUACAUCGAUUGUAUCUGAUCGCGACACGCGCUUCGUGUCUCACUUUUGGAGCAGUCUGCAGGACGCCUUAGGCACCCGAUUGGAUUUCAAUACGGCAUUCCACCCGCAGAGUGAUGGACAGUCGAAGCGCACUAUACAGACCUUAGAGGAUAUGCUCCGGGCAUGUGUGAUAGACUUCCAAGGAGGAUGGUGGCGGAGUUUUCUUAUAACAACAGUUAUCAAGCAAGCAUCAAGAUGGUGCCAUUCGAAGCACUUUAUGGACGGAAGUGUAGAUCGCCACUUCAUUGGAGUGAAGUCGGUAAGAGAUUGGCUUUAGGCCCUGAUGUGCUCCAGAAAGCUGAGGACAAGGUUCGAAUUGCUCGGGAGCGACUUUUGACGGCGCAGAGUAGACAAAGGAGCUACGCCGACCGACGACGGCGAGACUUGGAGUUCCAAGUGGGAGACCAUGUUUUCUUGAAGGUCUCGCCGACUAGAGGAAUCAAGAGAUUCGGGAUUCGGGGAAAGUUGAGCCCCUGUUUCAUUGGACCGUAUGAGGUUUUGGAGCGUGUGGGUCCGGUAGCGUAUCGACUUGCUCUACCACCGAACCUAUCAGGCGUGCACAACGUCUUUCAUGUAUCGGUCCUUCGGAGGUACAUUUAUGAUCCAGCUCACGUUUUGGAGACUAUACCAGUGGAGCUGCGUGAGGAUUUGAGCUUCGAGGAGCAACCAGUGAAGAUUUUGGCUCGCGAGGUGAAAAAGCUGCGGAAUCGGGAUAUUCCGUAUGUGAAGGUCCUUUGGAGCAACCACGAGGAGCGGAAGGUCGCGUGGGAGCUAGAGAGUGCUUUGCAGGAGCGGUAUCCCCAUCUUUUUCAGAUGGAGCCUUGAGGUAUGCUUUUGACUUACGAGUUUCGCGGACGAAACUCCUUUUUAGGAGGGGUGAAUGUAGCACACUGGACCUUUGCAAAUUGCGAGGUUCGAGUGUUCGAUAUGUAUUCCGAACUUUUCCACACUUGGUGGAGGGCCGUCGAUGGUAUACCGGCCUAAAAGUUCAAUAUCGAGAGUUUUGACUUAGUCCUGAGAGUUUUCACUCUCGGGGACCGGUCCCUGAUAUGAGAGACCGGUCUCCUCAGCACAGUGCUACGACAGGGCUUGAGGCAACCGUCCCUGGCGGGGAGAGACCGGUUUCUGAACGCUGGUUUUGCGGGACGAGCCGAGAGACCGAUCCCUGCCAGGGAGAGACCGGUCCCUCAGCGCGUGAGCGGCCCAGACCGGGCAGUGCACAGAGUGGAUUUUUGAGGGGCCUAAGUGGAUUUUGUUACCUUAGAGGCUAUAGGCAGCCUCUCUUCCCCUCCUACUCUCUCAUUUUCUCUCCCUCACACUCUUCCUACACUUCUAGAGAGAGAAAGGGAAGGAGAAGAAGGUGAAGGAGAGGAGAGGAGCUUGCUUGGAGGCCUUGGAGCACCAUCUUCUUCCUCAUUUCUCACCUUUAGAAGCUUGGAGCAUGCUUUUGGAGCUUUGUGGUGGAUCAAUCUUCAACCCUAGAAGAUUUUGAGCUUGGUUUGGAGCAUUCUAGAGGUAAGUGGCAACGUUCCUUCCUCUAGAUCUUAGUUUUGGAGCUUUUUGCUUGUCUAAACCCUAGAUUUUGGAUUUUAGGGUUAGAUUUGGGGAUUCUUGAUUUGAGGCUUCUUGAUCUCAUUUGAAUGGUUUAGAACCUUUAUAUAGGUUAGAUUGGAAGACCUCUACCUCCCAUUUGAAGAUUAAGAGAGGGAUCUUUGCAUUUGAGGUGAGUUUUCCUUACCUAUGCUUGAAUAGCUUAAUGAUUGAGCUUAGCGUCGUUCGUUUCGAUUAGGUAACACUUAUUUUCAUACCUCUAGGGCACUAAGAGGCUAGAGGACACCUUCGUCGGAGCAAACGAAGAAUUACGUUUACCAUUGGUGGGUUUGACUUCAUAAAAACGGGGCGAAAUGGCCCCUAUGCUUUCUAAACUCUUCGUAAAGUAUUUUUGAAUGCAUUCCUAUGCUAAUUGGAAUUUAUGUGAAUUUUAGAACACCUAAAAUACAUGCCUUAUGUGUAAGUUAAAUUUCACUCUAUACAGUAGAGUAAUCAAGGUUAUUUUCAUGCAUGUGAGGAGUGUUCAUGUGGACGAAUGGGAUUCUCGUCUAGUAUGCUAAUUUAGCUCAUAUUCGUGUAUUGGAAAUAUUAUACUAUGUUUGGACUUAGUAGCAUAAAGUGUCAUCAAGAGGCACUUGAAACUAGUAAACUAUGAAACUGCAACAUAGAAAUAUAAUGUUAGACCAUUGUACAUCUGCUAUAUAUUCCAUGUUAGAGACAUGAUGACAUAGAGAUAGGCCUUUGGGGCAUUCGAUACAUUCCAUGUUAUAAGACAUGAGGACUUGGUACUUGUGACUGGACAUAUGACUACUUGCCAUUGUGCUCAUUCGCACAUGCUUGUGAGGGUCGCUCCCUACAAGCCGGCACUCUGGAGAUAGCCAUCGCGAUUCAUAUUCGCCGUGCGGGAUUGGGCGCCGAAGUGGAUUGCCGUGGGCCAGGCUCAUUCUUAGGGUGGGGAUGAUGACUAUCACGAGGCCAUUAGGCUCGGCAUCGGCCAGACAGCCUACGGGCGGGUCUCAGGGCCAUAGACAGCCUUCGGGUGGGUCUCUUCAGAUUUGACUUUGAGUAUUCACUAUGACAUGUGAACUUUUAAACUAUUAAAGUGGACUUCGACUAGAAUAGUAAACUAUGACACCUUUACUAUUUCUGCAUUGAGGACAUCGGAUUGGUUGCAUUUCUAUGCUUAUGCAUGUCAUACACAUCUAUGUACAUUCAUGAUAUCGUUACUUUAUCACUUAUGCAAAUCAUGCUAAGUAGAGACCUUAUGUUAUA
rnacentral:lncRNA from 1 species